rnacentral:rRNA from 1 species
UACGAAGGGGGGCGAGCGUUGUUCGGAUUUACUGGGCGUAAAGGGCGCGUAGGCGGCCUUGUCAGUCAGGCGUGCGAAAGCCCCGGGCUCAACCUGGGAACGGCGCUUGGGACGGCGAGGCUGGAGUUCGGGAGAGGAGAGUGGAAUUCCCAGUGUAGAGGUGAAAUUCGUAGAUAUUGGGAAGAACACCGGUGGCGAAGGCGGCUCUCUGGACCGACACUGACGCUGAGGCGCGAAAGCGUGGGGAGCAAACAGG